rnacentral:rRNA from 1 species
UACGUAGGGUGCAAGCGUUGUCCCGGAAUUAUUGGGCGUAAAGAGCUCGUAGGCGGUGUGUCGCGUCGGCCGUGAAAACCUGCAGCUUAACUGUGGGCUUGCGGUCGAUACGGGCAUCACUGGAGUUCGGCAGGGGAGACUGGAAUUCCUGGUGUAGCGGUGAAAUGCGUAGAUAUCAGGAGGAAUACCGGUGGCGAAAGCGACUCUCUGGACGGCAACUGACGCUGAGGCACGAAAGCGUGGGGAGCAAACAGG